rnacentral:rRNA from 1 species
GACGAACGCUGGCGGCGUGCUUAACACAUGCAAGUCGAACGGAAAGGCCCUGCUUUUGUGGGGUGCUCGAGUGGCGAACGGGUGAGUAACACGUGAGUAACCUGCCCUUGACUUUGGGAUAACUUCAGGAAACUGGGGCUAAUACCGGAUAGGAGCUCCUGCUGCAUGGUGGGGGUUGGAAAGUUUCGGCGGUUGGGGCUGGACUCGCGGCUUAUCCGCUUGUUGGUGGGGUUGUGGCUUACCAAGGCUUUGACGGGUAGCCGGCCUGAGAGGGUGACCGGCCACAGUGGGACUGGGAUACGGCCCAGACUCCUACGGGAGGCAGCAGUGGGGAAUAUUGCACAAUGGGCGGAAGCCGGAUGCAGCAACGCCGCGUGCGGGAUGACGGCCUUCGGGUUGUAAACCGCUUUCGCCUGUGACGAAGCGUGAGUGACGGAAAUGGGUAAAGAAGCACCGGCUAACUACGU